rnacentral:rRNA from 1 species
GACGAACCGUGCGAACGUUGUUCGGAAUCACUGGGCUUAAAGGGCGCGUAGGCGGGGAGCCAAGUCGGCGGUGAAAUCUUUCGGCUUAACCGGAAAAUUGCCUUCGAUACUGGCUGUCUUGAGGGAGGUAGGGGCAGAUGGAACUUCCGGUGGAGCGGUGAAAUGUGUUGAUAUCGGAAGGAACGCCGGUGGCGAAAGCGAUCUGCUGGACCUCUUCUGACGCUGAGGCGCGAAAGCUAGGGGAGCAAACGGG